GCAGCAAGGUUUUAAAUUUCCUUCAAAAUGAGUGCUUUUGGAUAUGAAGGUUAGGUUAAACCUAACAGGAUAUCAAUCAAAUUUUUAUUUUCUGAGUUUUUUUCAAGUAUACAUUGGGGAAGUAACUUUGAAGCCACGGAAGGUGACCAUGAAGACCAGGAAAGCCUUUGACUGGCAUAUGAGAGCUAAGGUCUCAAGACAGCCAAGCAGUCCAAGGAAAGACAGGCCUUCCAAGGAGAGACGGAUGAGUAGCUGGUCUGUGGCAGAACCUGAGAGGAGACGCUGGAUACCAUGUAAGCAGACUUCCCCAGGUACUCAAGAAAGACUGGUGGCUGGGCAGGAGAACAGAGAAAGCCUCCAUCUGUGAUGCAGGCCUGGAAAAGGGAGCAGCCACCACUACAGGGAAAGCUUGAAGCUCUGCCUAGACUCUUCUUCCUUUCAGACAAAAGCCACAGGAAGAAGGGCAGCAAAUUUUGCGGAUCCCUGGGAACAGGUGAAGACCACUGUGACUGAGACAAAAGUAAAAAAAAAGAAAAAAAAAACAACCAAGCAAACAAAAAGAGCAGAAAAAAACAAACCAAAACAAAACCCCUUUACUCCUAGAGGAAGGGCAGGAAACUCUCCUGCAAAAAACCUGUCAAAGAUGCCAACAGUUUGGCUCUCCUUGGCGGGGGACAGGAUCACUGAGAAAGGCUGAUUUCCCUAAGCCUCAAGACCGAGGGUCCGCUUAGUACUAAGGCUGAAUCUGAAAAGCAGAAGGACCUCCAACCUGUACCAGUAGGCCAGCAAACCCCAAGAAUCAAGGAACAGCAGCCUUCUGAGCUUGGCAGAAGAGCAAAAAUGUGCUUAGAAUCUCCUACCAGGCUCAGGCUCACAGGGAAGGCUGAAAGCUGAGGGUGGUGUACCAACAUUGAGAAAAGCCCUCCAGCAACCUAACCCCACCUUAAUUUAAUUACUGAAAACCAAAGUUAAAGAGAAAAUUUUGAAGGCAGCCUGAGAAAGAAGGCUUUUCUUAAUGCAGAGGAACAAAGAUAGGAGUUCCACACCAAGCUUUUUACUAAAAACUGUACGAACCUGAAGACAGUGAAGUGACAUCUUUCCAGUGCUGAAAGAAAAUAACUGUCAAACCAGAAUUCUACACCCGAUGAAAUAUCUUUCAAAAAUGAAGACAAAAUAAAGACUUUUUUAGAAAAUAAAAGCUGACAGAAUUCAUUACCAGCAGUCCUGUACUAUAAGAAAUGUUAAAGGAAGUUCUUUAAGUAAGAGGAAUAUGAAAUCAAAAAAUCUGGUAUCAUACACAAAGAAAUGGAUCUACAAAAUAAAUGAAGAUGUCCGGAAAUGGUGAAAAUGAAAAUAAAUAGAAUGACAUUCUCUUUUUUUUUUUUUGAUCUCUCUAAAAGGUUAUUUUCAAAAAGAGCAAUGUAUUGUGGUUUUAUUGCAGAUAUAAAAAUAAAAUUAAAACAACCACAGAAAAGAUGAGAGAGAAUUAGAAAUGUGCUGUUAAGUUCCUAAACUGUACAUGAAUUAGUAUAAUUUUUUUGAACUUAGACUAUGAGUAAUUCGAGAUGUAUGUUGUAAGUUUUUGAGCAACAGCUAAACCAAAUUUUUUAAUAGAUAUAAAAUAGAUUUACAAAAUAUUCAAUUAAUUCUAAUGGAGGCAGAAAAAGAGGAAAAAGGAACAAAGAACAAAGGGAAUAAAUAAAAACAACUAGCAAGAUUAUAUAUUUAAAUCCAAUAAUCAUAUUAAAUGUAAGUGGUCUAAAUAAACUAAAAGAGGUUGUCAAAUUGGAUAAAAAACAAUUAUAAUCUAUCUACAAAAAAUCCACUUCAAAUAGAAAAGACAUACAUAAUUAAAAGCAAAAGAAUGGGAAAAGAUACACCAUGCAAACAGUAAUCAAAAUAAAGCUGGAGUAUCUACAUUAAUAUAAAAGUUGACUUUAGAAUAAGGAAUAUCACCAAGGAUGAAGAGGGACAUUACAUACUGAUGAAGGGGUCAAUUCACCAAGAAGUAUAACAAUUCUAAAUGUGUAUGUACCUUACAACAGAGGUGCUAGAAAUGGAAAGAAAUGGAGAAAUAAAUUAACAGUUAUAGAAACUCCACCUUUUUAAUUAAUAGAACAACUAGACAGAAAAAUCAACAAGGUUAUAGAAGACCUGGCAAUCAUCAACUGCACCUGACAUUUAAAGAACAAUCCAUCUAAUGAUAGGAGAAUUUAUUCUUUUCAAAUUUAAUAUUUUACUUAUACUUUACUCAUCCAAGUCUAGUAUUAAUUAGAACCUUUAUUGCCUCCCAAAGGUCCUUAGAACCCUUUAACUCCUCUUACGUCUUUCACCUUAUGUGCUAUUCUUGAGGAUUUUCAUUUCAUGAAUAUUUUAGAUACUACAAAACAUUUUCUAAUAAUGAUUUAUCUUUCUGAUGCACUUCUAUUUUCCAUUGUUUUUUAUUCUUUCCUGUACCUCUGAGAUGCUAUUUGGUAUCUUUUUUAUUUUUUUUAAACACCCUUUAGUAUUUCCAUUAGUGACAGUUUGGUGGCAACAAAAUUAAUUUUCAUUUUUUAGACACAUAAGAUGCCUUUAAUGCACCAUCAUUCCUGAAAAAUAUUUUCAUUAGGUAUAGAGUUAUAUGGUGGCAAUUGGUUAUUUUCUUUCAGCAUUUUAACUUUUUCUAUUUUUUAAAUUUUCUAUUUCACUUAUUGCUAGUCUAAUUUUUAUUGUUUCCUUCCUUCUGUUUGUUUUGGGUUUACACUUCUUUUUCAACUUUCUUAAGGUAGAGAUUGAACUAGUAAGAUCUUUCUUCUUUUUUAAUAUAGGCAUGUACCACUAUAAAUUUCCUUCUAAGCACUGCUUAUCUGCAUCCCAUAUGUUUUUGUAUGUUGUAUAUUUUGUUUUCAUUCACCUCAAAGUAUUUUCUGACUUCCUUUGUGAUUUCUUCUUUGAUCCAGUGGCUAUUUAGGAGUGUGUUGUCUAAUUUCCACAUACUUGUGAAUUUCUCAAAUGCCCUUUUGUUAUUGAUUUUUAAUUUCAUUCCAUUGUGGUUGGAUAACAUACUUUGUUUGACUUCAAUCCUUUUAUAUUGAUUGAGACUUGUUUUAUAGCCUAAUAUACCAUCUGUUCUGGAGAGUGUCCCAUGCGCACUUAAGAAUAAUGUAUAUUCUGCUGUUGUCGUGUGGUGUUUUAUAAAUGUCUAUUAGGUCUAAUGGGCUUAUAGUAUUAUUUAAGUAUUCUAUUUUCUUGUUGAUCUACCUAAUUGUUCUAUUAUUAAAAGUGGGGUAUUGAAGUCUCCGACUGUUAUUGUUUAAUUAUAUCACCCUUCCAUUCUGCCCAUUAUUGCUUCAUAUUUUGGAGCCCUGUUGUUAAUUGCAUAUAAUAUUUAUAAUUGCUAUGUCUUGCUGAUGGAUCGAUACUUUUUUAAAAAAAAAUUUAUACCACUUUAUACCUAGUAAAAGUUUUUUGUGUUAAAUCUA